rnacentral:tRNA from 1 species
GUGGGAGAGGCUUAGUGGUUUGGCGUGAGAUUGCAACAUUCCCUUUACACGGAAUCAAAGAUCUUGAGGUCGUGGGUUCGAUUCCCACCUUCCACU